GCUGCAGGAAUUCCCAAUACUAUCGGUACGGGUUGUGGGAGCAAGAGCCCGGAGAUGGAUUCUGAGACACGAAUCCAGGCCCUACGGGGCGCAGCAGGCGCGAAAACUUUACAAUGCAGGAAAUUGUGAUAAGGGAACCCCGAGUGCCCGUAUGGACGGGCUGUUCAGGUGCUUAAAAACCACCUGGAGAAAGGGCCGGGCAAGACCGGUGCCAGCCGCCGCGGUAAUACCGGCGGCUCGAGUGGUGGCCACUAUUACUGGGCUUAAAGCGUCCGUAGCUUGGUCGUUAAGCCUCUGGGGAAAUCUUCCGGCUCAACCGGAAGGCGUCUCAGGGGAACUGGCGACCUAGGGAUCGGGAGAGGUGAGAGGUACUCUGGGGGUAGGAGUGAAAUCCUGUAAUCCUCAGGGGACCACCUGUGGCGAAGGCGUCUCACCAGAACGACUCCGACAGUGAGGGACGAAAGCUGGGGGAGCAAACCGGAUUAGAUACCCGGGUAGUCCCAGCC
rnacentral:rRNA from 1 species